GAUGAAGAACGCAGUGAAAUGCGAUAAGUAGUGUGAAUUGCAGAAUUCAGUGAAUCAUCGAAUCUUUGAACGCACAUUGCGCCCCUUGGUAUCCCGAGGGGCAUGCCUGUUCGAGCGUCAUUUCACCACUCAAGCCUGGCUUGGUGUUGGGCGACGUCCUCUUUGGGGACGCGCCUCGAAACGCUCGGCGGCGUGGCACCGACUUUAAGCGUAGCAGAAUCUUUCGCUUUGGAAGUCGGGGCCCCGUCUGCCGGAAGACCUGCUCGCAAGGUUGACCUCGGAUCAGGCAGGGAUACCCGCUGAACUUAAGCAUAUCAAUAAGCGGAGGA
rnacentral:misc_RNA from 1 species